rnacentral:rRNA from 1 species
UACGUAGGGGGCAAGCGUUGUCCGGAAUUAUUGGGCGUAAAGAGCGCGUAGGCGGUCCGGUAAGUCGGCUGUGAAAGUCAAGGGCUCAACCCUUGAAAGCCGGCCGAUACUGUCGGACUAGAGUCCGGAAGAGGCGAGUGGAAUUCCCGGUGUAGCGGUGAAAUGCGCAGAUAUCAGGAAGAACACCAAUGGCGAAGGCAGCUCUCUGGGACGGUACUGACGCUGAGACGCGAAAGCGUGGGGAGCGAACAGG